UUGACCUCAAAUCAGGUAGGACUACCCGCUGAACUUAAGCAUAUCAAUAAGCGGAGGAAAAGAAACUAACAAGGAUUCCCCUAGUAACUGCGAGUGAAGCGGGAAAAGCUCAAAUUUGAAAUCUGGCAGGCUUUAUGACUGUCCGAGUUGUAAUCUAGAGAAGUGUUUUCCGCGUUGGGACCGUGUACAAGUCUCUUGGAACAGAGCAUCAUAGAGGGUGAGAAUCCCGUCUUUGACACGGACUACCAGUGCUUAUGUGAUCCACUCUCAAAGAGUCGAGUUGUUUGGGAAUGCAGCUCAAAAUGGGUGGUAAAUUCCAUCUAAAGCUAAAUAUUGGCGAGAGACCGAUAGCGAACAAGUACCGUGAGGGAAAGAUGAAAAGAACUUUGGAAAGAGAGUUAAACAGUACGUGAAAUUGUUGAAAGGGAAACGCUUGAAGUCAGUCAUGUUGGCCAGAAAUCAACCCUUUUUAAAGGUGUAUUUUCUGGUUUUACAGGUCAGCAUCAAUUUUGAUUUUUGRACCCAAACUCAUAUUUUUAUGUGGCUUCGRAUGU
rnacentral:rRNA from 1 species